rnacentral:lncRNA from 13 species
UUAACUUUUGCAAGGGUGAAGUCUACUAACCUUAUUCUACUCUGUUCAUAAGCAUUUUAGUUUUGGGAACAAAAAACUGUAUUGACAUCAGAUGUUUAUUCGAUGAGAAAAUGCUAAAUGUCGGCCCAAAUCCAUCUCUUUCCAUCUUCUCCCACUGCCACCCAGAGUGUAAUCGUUAAGCGGAUGCUUCACAUUUAUACAUCCGGUGAAAUAUCUGUCUCAUUGUUCUAUCUGUGAUGUCGCUGUUGAACUGUGGUAGUGGAGGAACAGGAAGUAAAAACAACAACAAAGAAAGCCGCAGAACUGUGCUGUCGAAACGAUAUGUAUUACUACAGGAUAUGUCUUUUCAGAUUCCACUAUGGUUCUUUAGUUGUGGACAUUACAUCACAAGAAAUGGCUCUUGGUCCUCAUCUUUGUAAGUCACCUUGAUUUUGCACCUGUGUAUUUUUUUAGAUCAGUUUCUUUAUGAAAAUAUUUAGCGAACUCCAUGACUGUAACUAAAGCAAGGGGUUAUAGCAGCACACAAGUAGACUACCAAUACAAGCUGGGCCCUGAGCUCAUGAAGUGAGCGCUGCUGGAGAGAGAUUGGAGCGAGAAGGCUGACACUCCAGCCGGUGGGCAUCUUGCUCCGUGCCCUAGUCAGAAUGAGCUUGCUCUUACUCUGAUCAGAGAGAGAGAGAGACAAUUUCACGGUCGCACUACUGUUUUGAUGCUGAAUGUAAUGAUUAUCAGUUUUCUACAUGUGUACUAAUGUUCAGACACAUUCAGUUGUUUCUGAUCUAUACUUGUUAAUAUGGUGUGAAUGGGAAAUACAAUGUGUGUGACUGAAAUAAUAGUUAAGACCAGGUUAUUGUAAAAUAGCACAUAGUGCUGCUUAAAACAUACUAACUUUGUACUAAAUGGGCUUUGUCAUUUAUUUGAAAUCAGGAUAUCUACAAUAGGUUAAGUGGACUUACGUUGUGUCAUUUUAAAGUGUGUACUUUGUGUCUAAUGUGAAUUAAUGAAUGUUUUGUUCUCAAUGCUUAGGUACCUGAUCUAUUGAAGUGAGAAUUGAACAAGAAGAAAUAAUCAUAUAUUUUUAGAGAAUAAAGAAAGUGCCAGAACUGUCAUGACAAUAACUUUUUGUGUCUGUUUCUCAUUGUUACUACAGGACUAGAAUUAAGUCUGAGGCCGGUAACAUCAACAGUGAGGACAAACCCAGCCUGCCUCUCUCCUUCCACACUGAGUAGAAACCUACAGUCACUGGGUCCUGAUUGUGACAGUGGAGCCCAGUUUGCACUGCAGGAUCCAGAGAUGGCAUCAGUGAAGCUGGAAGACUGCAGUCAAACACUGGAGCUGAAUGUCAACAUUAAAGAUGAAGAAGAGGAGGAGAAGAUUGGGAAAUCUGUUUCUCAUGGUAAGAGCAGAUUCUAACUAACUAAGUUUGUUGUUCGUUCCAACUUCCCACUGUGUAUGAAAAGUUGCAGUAGAACUGUUUCAUGAUGAACUGUUUCAAUGAGAAGGUAGAUAUUAUUUCAUGCUACUGAGACUUGCCUGGUUUGACACCAGUAAAGGGAANNNNNNNNNNCUCCUGCACUGACUGUGGGAAAUGCUUCAAUAGAUCAUCUAAAUUAACCAUUCAUCAGAGAGUGCACACAGGAGAGAAGCCUUACUCCUGCUCCGAUUGUGGAUCGAGUUUCUCCCAAUAUGGCCACUUAAAAUCACACCAACGUAUACACACCGGAGAGAAGCCAUACUUCUGCGCUGACUGUGGGAAUAGCUUCACAACAUCGAGGGCUCUGACAAUUCAUCAGAGAGUGCACACUGGAGAGAAGCCUUANNNNNNNNNNAGCCAACAGGACACAUGCUUACAAGUUUUGGGGUUUUGCUUUUGAUGUCUUAUUUUUGUUUACAAUUCUAUACAUUUUGCUUUCAAUUGAUUGGUUUUUGAUUUAAACAUCUAUUAUUUCACCCGUCCUCAAAAAUAUGUUUACAUUCUCAACUUUAUUUUUAUGUUCACAAAUGAUUUUGAAUUCAAUACUAAUGGUGUCAAAUUGACCCCAUACAUUAUCAUGGUUGCAAGCUAUAUUGGCGCUACAUCUAGANNNNNNNNNNGUGAAGUCUACUAACCUUAUUCUACUCUGUUCAUAAGCAUUUUAGUUUUGGGAACAAAAAACUGUAUUGACAUCAGAUGUUUAUUCGAUGAGAAAAUGCUAAAUGUCGGCCCAAAUCCAUCUCUUUCCAUCUUCUCCCACUGCCACCCAGAGUGUAAUCGUUAAGCGGAUGCUUCACAUUUAUACAUCCGGUGAAAUAUCUGUCUCAUUGUUCUAUCUGUGAUGUCGCUGUUGAACUGUGGUAGUGGAGGAACAG